AUCCCGUGGUGAGGGCAUUUACGUAGAAACUCUUUAAAUCUUUCCCAUGCCUCGUGUAAGAAUUCGUCAUCCAAUUGCUGCAAAAUAAUGAUCACACUCUGCAACU
rfam:Gossypium arboreum cultivar AKA8401 contig_6454_7, whole genome shotgun sequence.